UAUUAAUAAUUAGUUUAAAUUAUAAUAAAUAUAUUGUUUUUUUU
rnacentral:rRNA from 1 species